UGGGGAAUAUUGGACAAUGGGGGCAACCCUGAUCCAGCAAUGCCGCGUGUGUGAAGAAGGUUUUCGGAUUGUAAAGCACUUUCGACGGGGACGAUGAUGACGGUACCCGUAGAAGAAGCCCCGGCUAACUUCGUGCCAGCAGCCGCGGUAAUACGAAGGGGGCUAGCGUUGCUCGGAAUGACUGGGCGUAAAGGGCGUGUAGGCGGUUUGUACAGUCAGAUGUGAAAUCCCCGGGCUUAACCUGGGAGCUGCAUUUGAUACGUGCAGACUAGAGUGUGAGAGAGGGUUGUGGAAUUCCCAGUGUAGAGGUGAAAUUCGUAGAUAUUGGGAAGAACACCGGUGGCGAAGGCGGCAACCUGGCUCAUAACUGACGCUGAGGCGCGAAAGCGUGGGGAGCAAACAGGAUUAGAUACCCUGGUAGUCCACG
rnacentral:rRNA from 1 species